GAUGAAAAUGGUCGGGUCGGGUCGGUAAACCCUGGAAACGGGUCUACAAAACCCAAAUGCCUAAAGUAUAAACCCAUCACUCCAUUAGCAUCAAAACACAGCAGUCUUGCCUUGCCCCCUUUGUUGAAAUGCACUUGUGACUCUCACCCAAAAUCACCCAAAGAUGAAAUACUCUCGUCUAAUCUCCCAAACCCUAACACUAAUUUCUAAAAACCCUAACCCUAAUCUCCCCAAAUCAAUCCCCAACCUACCCCUCUUCAAGACCCCACCUUGCUCAUCAAGAACCGUGUUUUCACCACGUGGGUACUCAACAGAAGCACAAUUUUCCCCAACAGAAAGAGUCUCAGCGAUCGUAGAUGAGUUAUCAGGGCUGACCCUUCUCGAAGUUUCGGAUUUGACUGACAUUUUGGUGAAGAAAUUGGAUGUUCAAGACAUUCCUGUGAUGGGUGUGAUGAUGCCUGGAAUGGGGUUUGGAACGCGGGGUGGGGGGCCGAAAGGCGGGGUUGCGAAAGCGGAGGAAGUGGCGGAGAAGACUGCUUUUGAUUUGAAAUUGGAGGGGGGGUUUGAUGCUAGUGUGAAGAUCAAGAUUAUUAAGGAGGUGAGGGCGUGUACUGAUUUGGGGUUGAAGGAGGCGAAGGAUUUGGUGGAGAAGGCGCCGACUUUGUUGAAGAAAGGGGUUACAAAGGAGGAGGGGGAGAAGAUUAUUGCCAAGUUGAAGGAGAUUGGAGCAAAGGUUUCGAUGGAAUAAGGCUUCUUGUGAAGUGCAAGGUUAUGGUUUCUUCAGGAAGAACUGUAUUGACCAUGUUUCGCCUCAUUAGUGGUGGGCAAUAGAGGAUUAUUCAUUAAAAUCCUUUUUUGAGUUUUACGGUUACUCUUUAAAAGCGAUGCCCAUUCUAAAUCUAGUUAGCAUUUGGAUUGUUUGCUCAUUGAAAUUUCUUUAGUUUUUUAGUAAACACUAGAUUAAAUGAGAUUUGUAAUUGAUGAAAGAGAUCAAAGGUUACUAGGAGCUUCAGCCUUGCAUGUUUACAAUAAUCUUAUGAAGUUACACACGUGGCUAAGCAGCGAUCUGAUCUGCUUUGCAUUUUGUACAAACUACAUAAUGAGACAUCUCUUUGGAUAUUA